ACAUUGAUAGUUCAGUAGAAUUCUUGCCUUCCAUGUAGGAGACCUGGGUUCAAUUUCUGGCCAGUGCA
rnacentral:tRNA from 1 species